UGGCAUGAAGUCAGACAAGUGA
rnacentral:rRNA from 3 species